rnacentral:lncRNA from 1 species
AUAUCUGUAUCAUCGGAGCCUGGAGUACUCGGGUACUUUGAGUUCAGUGGCUCACCCCAGCCUCCUGGUUAUUUGACCUUCUUCACCUCAGCAUUACAUUCAUUAAAGAAAGAUGGAGUCUCGCCCUGCCGCCCAGGCUGGAGUGCAGUGGCGUGAUCUUGGCUCACUGGAAUCUGCCUCCCGGGUUCAAGCGAUUCUCCUGCCUCAGCCUCCUGAGUAGCUGGAGUUACAUAGAUUACCUAGGAACAGUACGAUUUGGGGUUAUCACAAAUAAACAUCUUGCGAAACUGGUAUCCUUAGUACACUCUGGAAGUGUGUAUUUACAUAGACAUUUCAACACAUCACUUGUCUUCCCCAGGGAGGUCCUGAACUACACAGCUGAGAACAUCUGUAAGUGGGCCUUAGAAAACCAGGAGACGCUCUUUCGGUGGCUGCGGCCACACGGAGGCAAGAGUCUCCUGCUGAAUAACGAGCUGAAGAAAGGACCAGCGCUGUUUCUGUUCAUACCUUUUAAUCCCCUGGCCGAAAGUCAUCCUUUAAUAGACGAGAUCACCGAAGUGGCCUUGGAGUACAACAACUGU